AGAGUUUGAUCAUGGCUCAGGACGAACGCUGGCGGCGUGCUUAACACAUGCAAGUCGAACGGAAAGGCCCUUCGGGGUACUCGAGUGGCGAACGGGUGAGUAACACGUGGGUGAUCUGCCCUGCACUUUGGGAUAAGCCUGGGAAACUGGGUCUAAUACCGAAUAUGACCAUGCACUUCCUGGUGUGUGGUGGAAAGCUUUUGCGGUGUGGGAUGGGCCCGCGGCCUAUCAGCUUGUUGGUGGGGUGAUGGCCUACCAAGGCGACGACGGGUAGCCGGCCUGAGAGGGUGACCGGCCACACUGGGACUGAGAUACGGCCCAGACUCCUACGGGAGGCAGCAGUGGGGAAUAUUGCACAAUGGGCGCAAGCCUGAUGCAGCGACGCCGCGUGAGGGAUGACGGCCUUCGGGUUGUAAACCUCUUUCAGCACAGACGAAGCGCAAGUGACGGUAUGUGCAGAAGAAGGACCGGCCAACUACGUGCCAGCAGCCGCGGUAAUACGUAGGGUCCGAGCGUUGUCCGGAAUUACUGGGCGUAAAGAGCUCGUAGGUGGUUUGUCGCGUUGUUCGUGAAAACUCACAGCUUAACUGUGGGCGUGCGGGCGAUACGGGCAGACUUGAGUACUGCAGGGGAGACUGGAAUUCCUGGUGUAGCGGUGGAAUGCGCAGAUAUCAGGAGGAACACCGGUGGCGAAGGCGGAUCUCUGGGCAGUAACUGACGCUGAGGAGCGAAAGCGUGGGGAGCGAACAGGAUUAGAUACCCUGGUAGUCC
rnacentral:rRNA from 1 species